rnacentral:rRNA from 1 species
UACGGAGGAUCCGAGCGUUAUCCGGAUUUAUUGGGUUUAAAGGGUGCGUAGGCGGGAUAUUAAGUCAGCGGUGAAAGUUUGACGCUUAACGUUAAAAUUGCCGUUGAUACUGGUUUCCUUGAGUGCGGUUGAGGUAGGCGGAAUGUGGUGUGUAGCGGUGAAAUGCUUAGAUAUGCCACAGAACACCGAUUGCGAAGGCAGCUUACUAAAGCGCAACUGACGCUGAUGCACGAAAGCGUGGGGAUCAAACAGG